rnacentral:misc_RNA from 1 species
GAAAUGCGAUACUUUGUGUGAAUAGUAGAAUCCCGUGAACCAUCGAGUCUUUGAACGCAAGUUGCGUCCGAAGCCUUCUGGCCGAGGGCACGUUUUCCUGGGCGUCACGCAUCCCGUCUCCCCCCAGUCCACCCUAACUUUGUUUUCUCACGGCGGCAAAACCGUUGCGACCCCAGGUUAGGCGGGGCUACCCGCUGAGUUUAA